rnacentral:lncRNA from 1 species
UUUGCAUCUAUUUCAUAGAGAUUGCAUAUAUCAAAGCCUGCCCAAUUUUAAUUCAUGCCCACUGUGUGGGUUAGCUUGUGCUACUUUCAUAUAGCUAGUUUGGGCUUUUAUUUUUAUUCUGAGGUUUACUACUUUAUUAUUUUACCUUCACUUAAUGUAAUUUCUGCAUUCAUAUCAACAAAUUAGUAUGUAUGUAAACUCAAAUCAAGUUUAGACCGUCUUAAUUUGCAAAUUAACUUAUAAUAUAUUUUAUCUAAGAAUACUUGAUUACAGUACUUACCCAGAUCGAUAGUGGAUUAUAUUAUUAGUUAAAUUAACAAGAAGCAAAACAAUUGAAGACUGAAAUUACCAAAUCCGUAUUUGAGAGGUAAGGUAAGGUAAGGUAAUUGUUCAUAUCCCAUUAUUUAUUUACUUUCUUAUUUUCAUUUUUCUUAUAACGAUGUUUGAUGAAUGUAGUUUUUCUUGAUCCUUUGAAAAAUAUUAAAGCUGUAAAAUGAGCAAACAGUUCGGGCUCGAUUCGGACUCGCUGGACUAAAAGUUUGAUUCGAGCUCGACUCGAAAUAUAAAUAAGUCAAAUAUGAGCAUAUUUUAAAGUUCGAUAAAUUACUCGAACCUCCUCAAAUUAUAAUUUUCUAUUGAUACUCGGAUCAUAUUUGUAAAGUAAGAUUGUAUUUCUUUAUUUGAUGGGAUAAAAAGGUUUAAUUUGAUAAGAAAUCUAUCGGAUUAUGGUGGACAUGACAGCUAUAAAUACAGCAAUAAGCAAGAAUUUAGGAUAUAUAAUACACAAUAGCAUAUGAUACAAAUAAACACUUUGUACUCUAUAUAUAUUAUUAUAGUCCAUAUAUUAUUAUAGUGAAUUUUUCUCUGUAUAUGGUUUUUUUUCAAUUUGGUUUUCAAAUAAAUUCUUGUGUUCAUAUUUUAUAUGUCUAUGAGAGUGUAUUUCGUGAGUUUGUUUUCAAACAAUACAAUCAACCGUUAGCACAAUUUUAGCAUAUUGUUUUGAUGAUUUCGUCAGGCGACACAAGCUAGCUGAAAAAAGUUUACUAUCUCCAAAAUUGUUUUUGUUAUAAUAAUUUAUUUAGCAAAAAAAAAAUAUGAAAAAUACAAGGUUUUCGCAAGUUUUAGCCUAAUUCUUGGUGCAUAAUAAUAAAUAGUUAGAAAAAAUACUUCUAAAUCUCUUUAGAAAGAUGAAAAAUUGUAUCCAAAGAAAAUUUACAAAAAAUCUUAUAUUUUAUGCGUCUCUCUUUUACAUCUGAUGAGCACAAAUUGAAAACGGCAUUGAAUUGAAUUGACUAGCUAAAUUCUCUCUCUCUCUCUCUAUAUAUAUAUAUAGAGAGAGGUGUAAGCUGAGCCAAAUAGUUCGAUACUCGACUCGAGAUCGGCUCGAAAAUAUGAUCCAAAACUCCAAUUCGAAGUUGAUCCGAGUCGAAUCUGAUUCAUACUCGUUUUCUGUUUAAUGAUACACGUGUCGAAUUCGAGCAUACCAGUGUUCGCUCAUAUUAGGGUUCGAGUAUUUCAUUUUUUUUCUCGAACCAUACUCGAUACCUGUUCGAUGGAUCAUAUUCGAAUAUUGGUCUGAUCCAUGUUAGUAAGCUAAAUAUGUGAUAUUUAUAUUAAUCUUUAUAAUUUAUAAAGUGUAGUAUGAAAUAGUGUAAACUUGUACUUGAAUAAAUCAAUUAAUUGAAUGUCAAUUAUAUUACAUUCUUUAUAAUUUCAAUACAUAAAUAAAAGUGAAAAAGUUUUAUAUAUAAAUAUUAGUUAAGUAACCAAUUUAGUAUGUAGUGGUUCAGUUUUAAGUGAAAUGAUUCAUAUUUGAAACUCGAUUUGAAGGCUCAUGAGUAACUCGCUUUGUAAACGAGUCGAGUACUUACGAGCCUAGUAGGUCCGAGUAAUGAUCCGAGUCGAAUUUGGCACAAAAAUAUAAAUCCCUUAUCGAAUCCGAGUCGAAUUUGAGCUCAGUUUUUUCGAGUCGAACCGAAUCUGAGCAUGAAGAUGUUCGCUUAGAUUCGACUCGUUUACACCCAUAUAUAUAUAUGUGUGUGUGUGUGUUCACUAUUUAUUUUUAGCUGUUAUGAAGCUCUCGCCUCAGAACUUGCAAAACUGACAAUAUACUUUGGAUAUGAAAUUCUGACAAUGCAUUUAAAAAUUAAAAUAUCCGGCCACCAUAUUUCACAAAAAUGUGCAUGAAUACAUGAUCAUGUAAAAAAGUAAAAUACAUAAUUAGUAAUUAAGUCAAAAAAAAAAAUUGACGUUACUCCCUCUAGCGGUCAGUCAAAACACAAUCGUUUUGACUGGCCGCUAGAGGGAGUAGCGGCUGGGCCUCCAUUCACUCUAAUUUUAGACGGCUAAUUUUGGACGACUAAUUUUAGACGGCUAGAUAAGCGUAAGUUGAAACAGUCCCUCUGGCUAACGUAUUCUAUGGAUCAUUUUUUUUUUUUUCUCUCUCUCUCUCUAUAUAUAUAUAUAUAUAUAUAUAUAUAUAUUGUGAGAACCCAGAUUUUAUGAAUAAAUAUUUAAUUUUUUUAAAAUAUUUUUUUUUAAAUAUUAUGGUGUGAAAUUGAUAUAAUGUUAUAGUUGUGGGUAGUAUUUAAAAAUUUUGCAAAGUACGCAAGUUGUUAUAUAAUAUUAAUUGGUCAGGGAAUAUUCGUUUUAACGGGGAAUAUUCUUUUUGUCGGAGAAUAAUCGUACGACGGCACAAUUAUUGGUGGACCCCACAAUGAAAGUAUUGUCGUAGUAAGAAAACGACAGAAUUAUCUUUUUAUAAAAAUAACGGCGGAGGUUUUACCGUUAAUACUGUUGAACUACCUGGUAGUAAAAGUAUAGUANNNNNNNNNNNNNNNNNNNNNNNNNNNNNNNNNNNNNNNNNNNNNNNNNNNNNNNNNNNNNNNNNNNNNNNNNNNNNNNNNNNNNNNNNNNNNNNNNNNNCAUCAUACAUUCUUCUUAAUUUUCACUUCACCACCGACUCCUUGUUAGGCCGUGAUAGAUCAAGAAUUGUUAUUGUUAUCGAUCUUAAUAUGCUAAGACUUAUAGAUUACAACAACAAUACGCCCGAGGCUGCGGGUGAAAAUAAGUAUGAUUGUUCGCCUGGGAAAAAGGAGGAGGAGGAGGAGGAGGAGGAGGAAAAUGAUAAAGUCUGGAUGCAAUCAUAUUUGGACGAAAUUCUUGGCGAUGAGGAUGAAAUACUAGACCAAAAUUUACUUGAAGAAGAAGAAGUAUUGUUGGAGGAGGAGGAGGAGGGUCGUAGAUCUGAAAUAAUGGAAAUUGCACGCGAAUUGAUGCCUUUUCUAAUUCAAACGCCUGAAAUUCUUGCCCAAACCAAACCAAAACUGUCGGUUCAUUUCCGACAUUUUGAAAAAAUUAGGUCUCCAGUAAAAAUAGAGGUGUUUGAUGGUGAACUGGAAUUGUGUAUGUGUUCGAUUUGUGGGAGUAGGGUUUUGACAGAAACGGUGGUUGCUAAAUUGCCUUGUUUGCAUCUAUUUCAUAGAGAUUGCAUAUAUCAAAGCCUGCCCAAUUUUAAUUCAUGCCCACUGUGUGGGUUAGCUUGUGCUACUUUCAUAUAGCUAGUUUGGGCUUUUAUUUUUAUUCUGAGGUUUACUACUUUAUUAUUUUACCUUCACUUAAUGUAAUUUCUGCAUUCAUAUCAACAAAUUAGUAUGUAUGUAAACUCAAAUCAAGUUUAGACCGUCUUAAUUUGCAAAUUAACUUAUAAUAUAUUUUAUCUAAGAAUACUUGAUUACAGUACUUACCCAGAUCGAUAGUGGAUUAUAUUAUUAGUUAAAUUAACAAGAAGCAAAACAAUUGAAGACUGAAAUUACCAAAUCCGUAUUUGAGAGGUAAGGUAAGGUAAGGUAAUUGUUCAUAUCCCAUUAUUUAUUUACUUUCUUAUUUUCAUUUUUCUUAUAACGAUGUUUGAUGAAUGUAGUUUUUCUUGAUCCUUUGAAAAAUAUUAAAGCUGUAAAAUGAGCAAACAGUUCGGGCUCGAUUCGGACUCGCUGGACUAAAAGUUUGAUUCGAGCUCGACUCGAAAUAUAAAUAAGUCAAAUAUGAGCAUAUUUUAAAGUUCGAUAAAUUACUCGAACCUCCUCAAAUUAUAAUUUUCUAUUGAUACUCGGAUCAUAUUUGUAAAGUAAGAUUGUAUUUCUUUAUUUGAUGGGAUAAAAAGGUUUAAUUUGAUAAGAAAUCUAUCGGAUUAUGGUGGACAUGACAGCUAUAAAUACAGCAAUAAGCAAGAAUUUAGGAUAUAUAAUAC